rnacentral:lncRNA from 1 species
AUGGGCCCCUUCGCCUUACGGGUGGGGAAACCGAGGACCACAGGGACGAACACCGAAGCUAGCGGCAAGGUCAGAACUGGAACCCAAUCCUCCCUCGACGUGGCCGCCACCUGUGAGCCCUUCCAGGCCCCCGGGAGCAGGGUGCCCCCUGACAGAGGAAUGCACCCUUGGGAUCCUUCGGCAGCCGAGGGGGCAUCGGCGGGCCUUUUCGGGUGCCCCUGGAUCACAUCUCCAGGCAGACCCCUGUGCCCGGCUCAAGGCCAGCGCCAGUGGUCACCUCAUGUCCCGACCUCAGCGUCCAGGCAUCACAGGCUGCCCGUCGAAGGGCCACUCACAGUCAACCCCUCCGUCCUAUGUGUGGGACCCUGCUUGGACUCGCCCCGAGGCCAGCGCCUCCCACGCUCCUUGGAGCCCCUACCUGUCAGCAUCAGACUAACUUCCUCCCGAGACAGUCCAGUUCUGCCCACGGGCCUAGAGCUUCCACAGAUGGGGAACAAUAUACAAGACGGGCCAGAAACACGCCAGGCCAAAGUCCUAACCCCAAGGACCGCCCCCGCCAAGCAUCUGUGGGCACACGGGGACGCACGCAUGCUGGCCCUCUAUCCUCCACUGGGCUCUACGGAGUCACCUGGGGCGUUGUUUGGAAAGGGAAAGUGGUCACGUCUAAGGGGAAGGAGAAAUUCGGGAAUGGAAGUGGGAGAGGGUUCCCAGCGGUCUCCACCAAGGGCCCAAAGCCCAGUGUUUAGCUCCACGUGGGCAGAAUGCCAAAGCCAAUACCUGAGUCCGCACCACCCCCGGGGCCCAACCCAGCAGUUUGCUGAAGACAAGGGGACCGGUCUGUGCCUGCACCUCCAGAUAAGGGCUAUAUAUAGCAGGAGAAAGUUGUUUUUUUCCAGAAGGUUAAGAAGCACAUUUCAAGGAGCGAAAAGGCUUCAAGGACACGCUGGGGGUGGCCUGAUGAGGCCAGAGGCUUUUCUUCCUUCAAAACCAUCUGCUGAACUUCUUACGGGAGAAGUCAUCCUGGCCUGGUUGAAUUCGCGUGUCCUUUUAGCUCGCUUUCAACUCUCCCUGGUGGAUCCAAACACAGCAUCUUCAUUAUUACUCGAUUUUAAUAAGGAACAGUUUCCGAUGACAAAAUUCCUCCCACAAGGCCUCAGGGACCUCUCCGAGGGUUCCCGCCACACCAGAGCCCUACUGCCCUGCCCUGUGAGCUCCUCCCGGGGGGCUGGGGGGGGGGGCGGGGCGCCUACAGUUCUGGAACCGUCUCCAGCACCAGGCGGUGCUCGCGAAUUGGAAUUCAAGUCAAGCGGAGCUGAACUAUAA